rnacentral:tRNA from 2 species
GCGCUUGUAGCUCAACUGGAUAGAGUAUCGGGCUUCGAACUCGAGGGUUGCAGGUUCGAGUCCUGCCAGGCGCACCA